rnacentral:precursor_RNA from 14 species
GGCCAAGAUUAGAAAUUGAGUGUUAUGGUGUCUCUUGAGAGCCAUAUGGAGGAGUUAACGGUGAUAGUUCCUCCGUAGGCUUUCAGGAAAUACCAUUUCGCUUCAUGAUUGUCCGGUUGUGC